UAGCCUAGACUGAAUUUGCUUGUCGUCUCCAUAGCGAAGCCCCUGACAAAGCAAAGGAAACAGAUUCUCACAUUAAGCCAUUGGAGGCGAUAGACGUUGCUAAUGCCGUGGUUUAUGUCCUGAGUGCCCCGCCUCAUGUUCAGGUGGGAGAUGUUGUGCUGCGACCUGUGGAGCAGCAGAUGUGAUGUUGACCCGUGUGAUGGCUGCAUUUACACACUCACUCUUCAGAUGAUCUCCAUCUGUGAAAUUAAUGAAGUUAAUCUCCAAUUAAAAGAAUAAAAGUCUAAUUUUAAGGUG